rnacentral:lncRNA from 1 species
UUUUUUUUUUUUUUUUUUUUUUGUCUUUUGUCUUUUGUCUUUUUAGGGCCACACCUGCGGCAUAUGGAGGUUCCCAGGCUAGGGGAUCUAAUCGGAGCUGCAGCUGCCGGCCUCCACCACAGUCACAGCAACGCCAGAUCUGAGCCAUGUCUGCGACCUACAGCACAGCUCACGGCAACACCAGAUCCUUAACCCACUGAGCAAGGCCAGGGAUCGAACCCCGCAACCUCACGGUUCCUGGUCGGAUUCGUGUCUGCUGCGCCAGGACAGGAACUCCCCUAACCAUAUUUCCAAUGCAACCUGGGGAACUUUAAUUAUGGUUCUCACACAGCCAACCAUUUCCCUGCCGUUUGCUAGUGUCUCCGAGUCGUCGGCCGCAGUUACAACCGUAAUCAAUAUUCAUGUGAAAGAGUCUGAAAUAGCCAGCUGAGCAGUUAAAAAUCUUUGUAGUAUAAUCCAAGCUCCCCUUAGAAUACCUACUAUUCAAAUACACUUUCGGAAUCAUAUACGAAUUUAGGUGAAUCUAAACAAAGUGGAUUUCCACUUUUCUUGAGUGUGGCCUCCUCCAGCCUGUCUUAGUCGGUGACGCAAAUGCUCGUGAAAAGACCACCCUAAGCAACUGGACAUUUAUGCUCUCAUCCCGCAAAACUGAUGAAGUCGUUACUAUGCCCAGACACGGCCCGAGCUGCCUGGUCUGCGUUAGCCUAAAAACAAAAUUCCAACCUUUGUGGAGUUUCUAAUGUAUUUAGCAAGUAGCGGAAAAUAACAAGGAUACGUUUAAAUAGAUUAAAUAGCAUGUCACACGGAAACAGGUGCCAUGGGAAAGAGGACACACACAUAUCCAGAUGCUGUUGCGAUGAUGAAGAGCACAGAGGCGGAGGUUGGGAGGAGACGGAAUUCCAGCAGAGACGUCGCGGGGUACCUAGGAGGAGAGCACCCCAAACCGAGAACACAGCUGGCCCUAGAGGGGGAGGGGCCUGCCCCGUGGGAGGAAUAACGAGGAGGCCGGGGGCGGGCUUGAGGGAGGAGAGGAGAGGAGAGGCGACGACCUCAAAGCCCUUUGGCUUUACCUCUGAGCAAAAUGAACCAAUUUACAAAUGUCUCUUCUUCCCGGGAAGAAGCCCCCUACACUUAGGGGGGGCGCUGAAAGCCUACUCUCAUAUGUGAAUAAGGGAGGCAUGCAUAUUUAACGGUAAAAAAAAAAAUCAAAUAAAAAUGCACCAUUUUCCUUAGGAACACUUUCGCAGGUAGAAUGCAUUUCAACUGACUGGCCGGAGAAACAAAGGGACACCGGCUGGAGGAAGAGGUGGCGGUUCUUCACAGGGAAGGGGCAGGACGUCAAAGCUGUGGACGGCGCUAUUUGACUCAACGAGGCUCAGUCCAUUUCCAUGGGGGCCUGUGCAAAACAGGAUAGAGUCUCAUCGCCUUAAGCUGGUGCCCUUUCCACACCACCAGGAGGCUAACAGAAAGGAGAACGAAAGUUACUGCUUCUUAACCUGUGGUUUCUGGACCACGAGCACAGCCUCACCUGGGGGCACCUGUGAAAAACGCCCAUCCCUGGGGACGCUUCCCAGGCUUUCUGGAUAAUUCGUAUGUAUCUAAAGUUUGAGGACACUGAAUACAAAGACAACUUCUUUUUUUUUUAAGCCACGCCCACAGCAUGCUGACGUUCCUGAGCCGAGGAUCAAACCCACACCAUGGCAGUGACCCAAGCCCACAACAGUGACAAAGCCAGAUCCCUAACCUGAUAGGCCACCAGGGAACUCCCCAAAUGAUGAUUUCUUAAGGGUCUCUCUGACUCUGGACUUCUCUGGACCGAGCGUCUCAUGCUGGGUCCCUGGAUGUUUAAUCCUGGCGUGUUUGGUCUGUGGUUUCCAGGGCCACAGAUCUUUGCAUGAGAUGAAGAGGAAAGAGUUGAGAACAUCUUCGGAUAUGUCAGCAAGGAAGGAAGAUGGCUGCGAUCGCCGUGUAAAUCAUGGGUCGUUUCUGUAACUGCAGAAUCAUUAAAAACGUGUAGAGUCAUUGGACGGGGGUCGCCUUGCAGUGAUGUUUCCACCUGAGUGUAUAUUAAUUCCUCUGAGAGAGCAGUUGUGGAUUCUGAUGAUUCGAGCCACAGAGAAGUAAUGAUGGCUAAAUACCUGAGUUUUAUGGCUUUGUUAGCUAUGUUAACAGCCAAUGACAACACAAUCUAAAGAGAUUUGCUAUUUGGCUUUAGAAGAAGUAUCAAGCUAAAAGUAUAAUUAAAACGUUUAUUAACCAGCCAAGUUGAAAAGGCUAGGAGUUACAGUAUCUGAAGCGCAGCAAUGACGUGCUUCCACUCUGUCCUAUGGCCACUUUGUCUCGUGGAAUAUCCUCCCUGCUCAACCACCCCCAGCUCAACACGAACUGAAGAACUGGGCUCACGCCUUACCUUUAGUUUCUAGUUUGAGCUCCAGAAAGACUUGGAAAAAAAAUUCUUACUUGCAAAGCCAGCAAUUACUGAAAUUUUCUAAUUACCCUGUCUGAGAGCUUUCUUCAUACUGGGGUGAUGCAGAGGGUCUCUCCAUGUUUUUAAAGGUCAAAUUACCUUGCUUCAGGAGCUUCUGGUGGUGGGCCAAAUGAGAUGAGCUUAAUUUAAUCUGUCUCUGCUGCUUUUCUUUCAAUCCAAAGGGGCAUCCAUCAUGGGCUUCUCAUUCUGACUGAUAUUGAUCAGGUAAUUGCCCUCAGCUUGUCAAACUAUCAUGAUUUUUGUAAGAAUGAGUCUUUUCUAGAAGAAAGUAGGCCUGAGAGAGAGAGAAAGAGAUGCAAAGAUUUCAAUUAGAACUUUGCCCAAAAGCCAGUAGAAGGCAAGAUGGACAGAAGAGAGACGAGGUAGAGAAGGAAGAGGGAAGGCGAGUGAGUAAGGGUGCUACGUAGACAGCGCUGUGUCCCCCCCCCCUUUUAGUUCUAGGGAACUCUGUACAGCGCUGUGUCCCCCCCCCCUUUUAGUUCUAGGGAACUCUGUGUGCUGCCCUUCUACCCUGCCCACCCGUGAAUCACGAUGAUGCAUUUGGGGCAGGUCCGGAAAAAGUUGAGGGCCAGCCCCUCACACAACUCAGCGAAGGCCAGUCUUAACACAGCCAACCUUGAGCUCCCUCUAGCAAGGGGUGAAAGCAAACCACCAGCCUUCCUUAACCUUCUGCCUCAGGAUCAAGGCGAAGACUACUUUGAGGCUCAGGCCAAUUAUCCUCUUUGCCUCUGCCGGUCAGAUGUUAAUAACCAUUGGCCAGCUCUUCCAUUUAUCCCAGAUUAUUAGGGUGAAGAUGGAGCCCGAAAGGAAAGGGAAAACAGAAAACCUCCUGCCAGGAGCGGAGCUCCCCCAGGAAAGCGCAGGGCACGGACGCGGGGGACGUGGCCUGAAGGCGACUGGCCCGCAAACCGGGACCAUCCUUCGAGACGCAACGAGCCCUGUGCAAGCCCCUGCACGGCCGUCCGGGAAACCGAGCGAGCUUGCGGGAGCUCCUGCGAAGAGUCUAGAAAGGCCCAGGGAGCCUCGUCCAGGGCGUCACGACCGCUAACCACCUGUCCAGGGAGUGCCGGGGUCCCCGAGCCGCGGAGCCGGCCUGCCGCCAGGGCGUCGUGUCCAGGUCGUGGGGCCCCGCGGGCGGGCGGGUAGCCUGGCCCCCCUCGCUGCGGGUGCGGGAGAUGGAGCACGCAGCCUGGUCACCUUCCGGGAAUUCUGGAAAUAAUCCCUUAAAAGGCCAGCCUUAAAGCGGCUGGCUCUUUUUCAGACCUGGUGGACCUGAGACCCCCUUCACCUGGAGGCCUUCACCCCUCCCAUAAUAACGCUGGUAAAAAAUGCACCCAGGACCCACACUAAACCUCAGAGGGGGACAGUCUUUUCUCAAAAGCGUUUGCGAAUUUGCUCUUAAAAGAAUUUUUUAACUUGAUUCACACGGGUUCCGAGCUCUGGGCCAUCAUCAGGCACAGGUGAAAAUGUCACCAGGUGACAACAUCGGAACCUACGGCUAGGUUUCAAAUGCAGUGCAGUUUUAGUGAAUAUUAACUUUGACGAGUAAUCAAGUUGGUAAAAUAUCCCAUCAUGUCGGUGUUUAAUACAACAUCUAUCAAAAAUCCAUCCCGCGAUUUUCUUGGUGGUAUUUCGAAGCCAAUUUUUUUGAGCAAAACUUCACAUCUCAGAUGAAUAUAUGCCCUGACCUGGGUUCUUUCAACUGUCGUAACAUGAACACAAUGAAAAAUGUUGUUGGUUGGAUCUUUAUACGAGUUUUGCUGUAGAAAAAAAUAUACAUAUUUUUUUUGUCCUUGCCCUGGAGCGCGUGGAAGUUCCUGGGACAGGGAUCAACCCGAGGCACAGCAGUGACAAUGCAGGAUCCUUAACUCACUGAGCUACCAGGAAAUUCCUGCCCUAGAAAUUUUGAAAGUCUGUCCCUUGCAAAGUGAACCUUAUAUCAUCGUUCACCUCCUGCUGGGGACCAGAGCUGCCUGGACACCAUCCACGGUCUGGAUGUUAUGUGACCCUGGGAAAGUAUAAACGGAGGACAGGGACGAGGCUCGGCUCCACCUGAAAGGACUUAUCUGAUCCCCAGAGAAAGAUCGUAAUAAGUUGAAGUUACUGAGGAAGAAAAAGAAGACGCAGGGAAAAUAACUAAAGGAAAUGGAAAAUGGGUUUUUUUUUAGUUUGUUUUUUGUCAUUUCUGGGUUGCAAGGUCUCCCUUUCUCUUUUAAUGUCUUUCUCACACAAUCUCCUUUUUCUCAUCUAGGUCUCAAAAGAAUUGCCAGAGGUAUGUCGGGCUACCGCGGUAAACACCCAGAGAUGCCGCAGAUCAAAAAUCGCUUCCCGCGCUCUUCCUCGCUUCCAAUUGGCCCUCCCGCAGGAAACCUCCGUCCCUGCAGCGGACCUGAGGGCCCAGCCGUCCGCGGGGGCGCUGAGCAGGUGCGCGGGGGCGCGCGCAGCGUCUCUGUUGGGAUCCACCCUCUCUGCGUGGCAGACCUGGCUGUGUGCACCUUGCGUCCAGCUCCCCGCCCGACCUGCCCCGCACGCUCCCUCCGUCCCUGGCUCCUGGACCCAGCUUCUGGUUAUGAAAGCAAAGGUUCCUCUACCUUGUAGUCGUGCUGUCUUAGCUGCUGAACACCUUCUGUGAAUCCAGACAAAACUACCACUGAGAGUGAAUGCUUCGCAUUUUGUCCACAUGUCUUGCACUUAUGACAUCAGAAUUUUCUUCUCAUGUUCAAUGGUAGUGUGUGUGUGUGUGUGUGUGUGUGUGUGUGUGUGUGGAGAGAGCGUGUGUAUGUUACAUUGUCCAACCAAUUUCACGUAUCCAUCCCUUAACAUUUUCAGAGUUAACCACGUUUGUGAAAAGGACAAAUGCCCCACUGAGCUCUUUUUCUUUCCUAAAGCGUGUGGGGAAUGUGCCGUUGGGCUCUUCCCUGCGUAAAUAAUGCGUAAAAUAAUCAAAGCACCAUCACGACCUGACAGCUCAGGCCUUGGAUGAAUAGGGCUUUAUGGGGGAUUAUCAUAUGACAUUUCCAAACUAAAUUAUAUUUAUGAGUCAUACAGGGUACUGUGGCCUCAUCGGCCCUCGGUGUGGAAUCUGCACAUUUUGCAAGGAGGGGACGAAGGGAAAGGACCUGGACCUGGCUGUCCUUUUUGAACAGGAAAUUUUUUAAAAAAGGAAGGAAGGAAGGAAGGAAGCCAUCAUUUCCCAUCCCCACUGCUCAGGGAGACUCUGAAACUUGGAAGGGAAUCUUCGGUCCUGUAGUGUCUCUUACACUGUUACUCCAUAGAUUUAAAACCAAUGUGCUCAAAAUCUUCAGAGAUGAGCUAAUCUCACGGUCCCUCCCCUCAGAGGAGGGACUGAGCAGACACACAACGCACAGCUCCCAACCCCUUGAACACUUUUCCUCGAACCUCCCAGCUUCCCCUAGGCAACCACACACGCAGACACGACUUCCUCCAAACAUCAAGUGACAACACAGAAGCAAAGCGAAGCAAAGGUUUUCUACACAUGAAAGUCUAGUUUCCAAAAGGAGUUAUUUAUACGCUUUGUCAGUCAUUUUGGAACACACUGCACCAUUCAAGUGAGAAAAUAUUUUUCUUGGUUAAACUCAAAAUGUUUUCUCCCUUCAAAUAUGAUGUUACUCUAUGCCUUCUUGGGAACUUGAACAGAGAAGGGCGAAUACUGACCCCCCACCCAAUGUUUUAAGGUCAGAGCCCUGGGGACAGGCCGCCACGGGUCCUAGCAUGCCCCUCUUGUAUUUCCUUCCAGCGGGGGCAGUACGUAAUGCCGCGUCUGCCUGGAUCCUGGGACAGGCAUUAGGAAAUUGAUGUCGCCUCUAGGACUGGACAGAUAGGGGCAAGGGGUGUGCACUGAAUUUUGUGUCGCAUCGCAUUUUCAAUGUUCUUGCAAGGCUGCAUUUUAGUCGGAGGCGCCUAUGAACCCUUCUUUGUAAACAGAACGGUAUCCAAUCAACUCAUCAUUGGAUAGCAGUGAUGCUCCAACAAUAAGAUCGCUGAAUAAUACACAGUCAUAAAAUCCAGACACGACUGCUGCUUUCUGAAAAGGAAACCUGUAACAACCCCUUAUAAACCCAGGAGUCAGAAGAAAAAGCAUCAUACAGAUACGGAACUAUUGCCCCCUGAUGCAGAAGGAAAUGGUAUCCUCUGGCCAAACCCACGCUCCAUAAAAACACAGUUCAUCCGAUCCCACAGCUGACCCCCGAGGAACUGCCUCUAACAUUAAAGCAAGAUAAUUUGACCUAAAAUAAAAGAAACUAUAGGGAAAUAGUCUUUAUCAGCCUCCAUAGGAAGAAAUGUCUAAAAUGGAGUAAUUAGAGUCUUUUAGGAAAGUAUUUCAAAAAGCCCUUUCAGUUAUCACACUGAAAUUCUUGGCAAACGGCUGGGAUAUUUCGCUAGUCCCAUUGGGGUGUUGGGGGGGGGGGUUACAGUUUCAAGGAGAGAGAAGGUCACGAGGCAAAAUCUGACAAGAGCGCUGUGACUUCUCGCCUUGAGGUCUCACAGAUACCAGCACUGGCUUUUCCAAGGUGUCCGAAUUCUCUUCUUACCCUGAUUCAGAAGUGGUACCUCUUCACUGCAAAUGGCAAGGUCACAAAACCAGAGAUCCACCGUAUAAACACACACACUUACGCGACGCAAAAAUAACACAGGAACCGCAACAACUUGAAGAAGUAAAAAAAACCCCAAAACACCCAGUCACACUUUCUUUUCCAUUUCAUAUACUGCUUCUAAAUAUGCAAACCAG